rnacentral:snRNA from 1 species
AUACCUUUCUCGGCCUUUUGGCUAAGAUCAAGUGUAGUAUCUGUUCUUAUCAGUUUAAUAUCUGAUACGUGGGCCAUGCGCCCACUUCGAUAUUAAAUUUAUUUUUUGUGGGGGAGGGCCCACUACAGUGGCUUGCUACUGGGGCCCUCGAGCGUCGCUUGUGCGUUGCACUACAGCCCGAGCCUGGCGCGCCCCAA